rnacentral:rRNA from 1 species
UCUUGCCGCUAUUAGCUAGUAGCGGCGAGCGAAGCGGGAAGAGCUCAAAUUUAUAAUCUGGCACCUUCGGUGUCCGAGUUGUAAUCUCUAGAAAUGUUUUCCGCGCUGGACCGCACACAAGUCUGUUGGAAUACAGCGGCAUAGUGGUGAGACCCCCGUAUAUGGUGCGGACGCCCAGCGCUUUGUGAUACAUUUUCGAAGAGUCGAGUUGUUUGGGAAUGCAGCUCAAAUUGGGUGGUAAAUUCCAUCUAAAGCUAAAUAUUGGCGAGAGACCGAUAGCGAACAAGUACCGUGAGGGAAAGAUGAAAAGCACUUUGGAAAGAGAGUUAACAGUACGUGAAAUUGUUGGAAGGGAAACGCUUGAAGUCAGACUUGCUUGCCGAGCAAUCGGUUUGCAGGGCAACAUCGGUUUUCCCGGAUUGAUAAUGGUAGAAAAAAAGGUGUGGUUGCCCCCGGGGGGAAAAAAUCUUUUCGGGGUUACCCCUCGGGGGGACCGAAGGGGCCCAAAGAGCAAUUUGGGGGUGUCCCCCCCCCCUCUCCCCCCUCCCAGGGGGAGCCCUGGGUGGGUUUUUUUUC